AGCAGAGGGAGAAUGGAAGCUGUUUCAUGUUCCAGGGUGAAAGCCAGCUAUUGCAGAUCUUGCCCCCUUUCCCAGGUGGAAAACAGGAAGGAGAAAAAUAUCCCAAACUGAUGUGGAAAUGAGGAGAACUGCACUUAAAACUGGAAAAAUGAGAAACCUAGAGAAACCAAAAUUGCUAGAUUCACCCAUCGCAUGCAAGCCCUGGCUCCAAAUCCCCUGCAUGUGCUGAUCUACACAUGUGCUUCAAGACAUGGGACAAAUAACUGGACAUUGGCAAUCUCUCUUCCCGUUUCUGUUGGAAUCCUUCAACGUCCCUAGUGGUAUGAUGAACACUUAACACAUCACCAAAAAAGAGGAA